rnacentral:rRNA from 1 species
AUUGAACGCUGGCGGCAUGCCUUACACAUGCAAGUCGAACGGUAACGGGCCUUCGGGUGCCGACGAGUGGCGAACGGGUGAGUAAUACAUCGGAACGUGCCCGCACGUGGGGGAAAACGAGGCGAAAGCUUUGCUAAUAGCGCAUACGAUCUACGGAUUAAAUCAGGGGACCGCAAGGCCCUGCGCGGACGGUGCGGCCGAUGGCGGACUAGGUAGUUCGUGGGAUAAAAGCUUACCAAGCCGACGAACCGUACCUGGACUGAGAGGAUGAUCAGCCACACUAGAGCUGAGACACGGCCACGGCUCCUAAGGGAGGCAGCAGUGGGGAAUUUUCGACAAUGGGCGAAAGCCUGAUCCAGCCAUGCCGCGUGCAGGAUGAAGGCCUUCGGGUUGUAAACUGCUUUUGUACGGAACGAAAAGCCUUCUUUUAAUACAGGAGGGUCAUGACGGUACCGUAGGAAUAAGCACCGGCUAACUACGUG